AAAAAUCUCCACAAGUUUAGAAUCUAGAAUUUGAAAUUCAAAACAAAAAAAAACGGAUUUGAAAUUCUGAAGCUCUCUUAGAUCUUAGUUCUUUCAAAAAUACAAACAAAAAAAAAGCUACAGAAAAUCCAAAAAUACUCUUACAUUUAGUUCCUUAGAUCAUUUUCCAGAUUUGAGCAAAUGUUUCGAAUUUUUAGUCUAAAUAAAUAUGAAAAAUGGCAUGAAAUUCCUUUUGAUCAGCUGCUGAAGUUUCAAAGUGUGUUUUGGGUGCAUUUUCAAACUCGUUUGGUGUUAUUCAAGCUUUUUGAUUGGAUUUCUGUCUGAUUUGGUGUAAAAACAUCUGCUGAUUUCCUUUGAGAUCAUUUCUAGGUUGAACUACUAGG
rnacentral:lncRNA from 1 species